rnacentral:rRNA from 1 species
UACGGAGGGGGCUAGCGUUGUUCGGAAUUACUGGGCGUAAAGGGCGCGUAGGCGGUCUACUAAGUUGGAUGUGAAAACUCUGGGCUUAACUCAGAGCCUGCAUUCAAAACUGAUAGGCUGGAGUUCUGGAGGGGAUAGCGGAAUUCCUGGUGUAGCGGUGAAAUGCGUAGAUAUCAGGAGGAACACCGGUGGCGAAGGCGGCUAUCUGGACAGAAACUGACGCUGAGGCGCGAAAGCUAGGGGAGCAAACAGG